GAUGAACGCUAGCGGCAGGCUUAAUACAUGCAAGUCGUACGGGAUCCGAGGUAGCAAUAUCUUGGUGAGAGUGGCGCACGGGUGCGUAACACGUAUGCAACCUACCUUUAACCGGGACACAACCUCGAGAAAUUGAGGCUAAUAUCCCAUAACACUGCGAGAUGGCAUCAUUUUGCAGUUAAAACUCCGGUGGUUAUUGAUGGGCAUGCGCGACAUUAGCUAGUUGGUGAGGUAACGGCCCACCAAGGCUACGAUGUCUAGGGGUUCUGAGAGGAUUAUCCCCCACACUGGUACUGAGACACGGACCAGACUCCUACGGGAGGCAGCAGUAAGGAAUAUUGGUCAAUGGGCGCAAGCCUGAACCAGCCAUGCCGCGUGAAGGAUGACGGCCCUAUGGGUUGUAAACUUCUUUUGUACGGGAAAAAACCACCGGUCGUGUAUCGGUGCUGAUGGUACCGUAAGAAUAAGCAUCGGCUAACUCCGUGC
rnacentral:rRNA from 1 species